AGACUAGGGCGGGCGACGUGAUCAGAUGACCUGUGCGGGCGGCAGCCUCCUGCCCUCCUCCCCUUCGUGCGCCGGCUGGAGCGAAGAGUUCUUUUGACAGCCGUGAGCUUCCCCGCCAGGAACUUACUGGGGCUGCAUCACCCUAGAAACGUGGCUUUGGGCUGUGGAAACGCUGCCUCUGUGGAAGUCUCUCCUCGCGGGGGUGGACGGGUCGCUGCGCGCCCAGCGUUCUUCUGCGGUUCUCACAGCCCGCCGCCGCCGCCGCCUCGGGGACCUUUGCGGGGAGGCCUCAGGCUGGAGUAUAGUGGCAUGAUCAUAGAUCACUGCAGCCUCAAACUCCUGGGCUCAAGCGAUCCUCCCACCUCAGCCUCCAUAUAGCUGGUGGGGACCAAGUUUCUAACACAUGAAUGUUGGGAGACACAUUCAGACCAUCGCAGUGGCCUUAUAAAAAGAGACACAAGAGCUUGCUCUCUGCCAUGUGAGAAUACCACAAGAAGACUGUCCUCAGCAAAUCAGAAAGCGGGUGGACCCUCAUCAGACACCAGAUGUGCCUGCACCUUGAUCUUGGACUUGCCAGCCUUCAGAACAGUAAGAAAGAAAUGUGUGUUGUUUAAGCCACCCAGUCUAUGGUAACUUGCUAUAGCAGCCCACUAGGAGACCCCAAGAUAUUUAAAAACUCAUCAGCACCUGCUUUCUGCAUCUGGACCCUGAUCUUCUGGUGGGUUUACCAGUUACUUGUAGAGUGUCCCUGUGAUAGUUUUAGGUGUCAACUUGACAGGAUUGAGGGAUGCCUAGAUGGCUGGGGAAGCACUGUUUCUGAGAAGGACCAUGUUUUUGGAGGAGACUGUUUUAUGAGUGAAUUUCAGGGGACACAUUCAGAUCAUGGCAGUGGCAUUAUAAAGAGAGACACAAAAGCUUGCUCUCUCUCUCUGCCAUGUAAGACUACCACACAAAGACUGCCAUCUGCAAACCAGAAGCAGGUGGGCUUUCCUCAGACACCAGAUCUGCCUGCACCUUGAUCUUGGACUUGCCAGCCUUCAGAACUCUAAGAAAGAAAUGGUAGCAUGGCUUGGUCUAAGUUGGAAGGCCUGAGAAACAAGCACAUGGUGGAACUGAGUUCAAGGAUAAAGACUUGAGAAUACCUGCUCAGUGGACUGAGUAGGGAAGAUCAACCCUCAAUGUAGGCAGGCACUAUCCAAUCACCUGAGGGCCCAGAUGGAACAAAAAGGUGGAAGAAGGGUGAAUUCUCUCUUCCAGAGCUGUGACACCCUUCUCAUGCCCUUGUACCACACAACUCUAGGUCCUUUGGCCUUUGGACUCUGACACUUGCACCAGUGGCCCUCUGGGGCUCUCAAGCCUUUAGCCUUGAACUUAGUUACACCAUGUGCCUCCUUGUUUCUCAGGCCUUCCAACUUGGAUCAGGCCAUGCCACCGGCUUCUCUGAUUCUCCAGCUUGCAGAUGGUAUAUUGUGACCCUGGCAUUUAAUAACUAUGACUUUGGUCUUAAGCAAUUUUCUUCCUCUGUGGAUUGAUAUUUACAUAUCAAUGUGGAUAAUAAUUUCUUACCACGGUAACUGUUGUGAGGUAAAAAUGAGUUAACAUAAGUAAAACCGAGCACAUGCAAACCAUCCGAAAUGGUUAAUACUUACUAUUUGUACUUGAAGAAAUAAAUGUUUUUGACAAUAAACUUCUUGUGCAGUUUUCCUCA
ensembl:lncRNA LINC00847 long intergenic non-protein coding RNA 847